AUUGAACGCUGGCGGCAGGCCUAACACAUGCAAGUCGAGCGGCAGCGGAAAGUAGCUUGCUACUUUGCCGGCGAGCGGCGGACGGGUGAGUAAUGUCUGGGAAACUGCCUGAUGGAGGGGGAUAACUACUGGAAACGGUAGCUAAUACCGCAUGACCUCGAAAGAGCAAAGUGGGGGAUCUUCGGACCUCACGCCAUCGGAUGUGCCCAGAUGGGAUUAGCUAGUAGGUGAGGUAAUGGCUCACCUAGGCGACGAUCCCUAGCUGGUCUGAGAGGAUGACCAGCCACACUGGAACUGAGACACGGUCCAGACUCCUACGGGAGGCAGCAGUGGGGAAUAUUGCACAAUGGGCGCAAGCCUGAUGCAGCCAUGCCGCGUGUGUGAAGAAGGCCUUAGGGUUGUAAAGCACUUUCAGCGAGGAGGAAGGCACCAUACUUAAUACGUGUGGUGAUUGACGUUACUCGCAGAAGAAGCACCGGCUAACUCCGUGCCAGCAGCCGCGGUAAUACGGAGGGUGCAAGCGUUAAUCGGAAUUACUGGGCGUAAAGCGCACGCAGGCGGUUUGUUAAGUCAGAUGUGAAAUCCCCGCGCUUAACGUGGGAACUGCAUUUGAAACUGGCAAGCUAGAGUCUUGUAGAGGGGGGUAGAAUUCCAGGUGUAGCGGUGAAAUGCGUAGAGAUCUGGAGGAAUACCGGUGGCGAAGCGGCCCCCUGGACAAAGACUGACGCUCAGUGCGAAAGCGUGGGAGCAAACAGG
rnacentral:rRNA from 1 species